GAUGAACGCUGGCGGCGUGCCUAACACAUGCAAGUCGAACGAAGCACCUUACCUGAUUCUUCGGAUGAAAGUUUGGUGACUGAGUGGCGGACGGGUGAGUAACGCGUGGGUAACCUGCCCUGUACAGGGGGAUAACAGCUGGAAACGGCUGCUAAUACCGCAUAAGCGCACGAGGAGACAUCUCCUUGUGUGAAAAACUCCGGUGGUACAGGAUGGGCCCGCGUCUGAUUAGCUGGUUGGCAGGGUAACGGCCUACCAAGGCAACGAUCAGUAGCCGGUCUGAGAGGAUGAACGGCCACAUUGGAACUGAGACACGGUCCAAACUCCUACGGGAGGCAGCAGUGGGGAAUAUUGCACAAUGGGGGAAACCCUGAUGCAGCAACGCCGCGUGAGUGAAGAAGUAUUUCGGUAUGUAAAGCUCUAUCAGCAGGGAAGAUAAUGACGGUACCUGACUAAGAAACUCCGGCUAAAUACGU
rnacentral:rRNA from 1 species